rnacentral:tRNA from 1 species
UCCCUCGUGGCGCAAUUGGCUAGCGCGUUUGACUGUUAGGAGCUCAUCCAAGCGGUAUCAGGAGGUUGGUGGUUCAAGCCCACCCGAGGGAG